rnacentral:rRNA from 1 species
AGUGAACGCUGGCGGUAGGCCUAACACAUGCAAGUCGAACCGCCGCACAGUCAGAGCUUGCUCUUCUGGGUGGCGAGUGGCGGCCGAGUACGGAAACCAUCGGACUAUACUUUUACGAGGGGGAUAACGUAGGGAAACUGACGCUAAUACCGCAUACUACCUUCGGCUGAAACCAGGGGACCUUCCGCCCUUGCGCGAUCGAUUGCGCCGAUCUCGGAUUAGCUAGUUGGCGGGGUAACGGCCCACCAAGGCGACGAUCCGUCGCGGGUCCGAGAGGAUGAUCAGCCACACUGGAACGGAGCCACGGUCCAGACUCCAACGGGAGGCAGCAGUGGGGAAUAUUGGACAAUGGGCGCAAGCCUGAUCCAGCCAUACCGCGUGGGUGAAGAAGGCCUUCGGGUUGUAAAGCCCUUUUGUUGGGAAAGAAAAGCAGCAGGUUAACACCCCGCUGUUCUGACGGUACCCAAAGAAUAAGCACCGGCUAACUUCGUG